ACCAGAACAACUACAGCCUAUUGAAUUUGUUCUGGUGAGUAGAAUCAUUACCUUCAUGCUUUUUGCUGUAAACACUGUCUUUUCAGAGAAAAUGCAGUGUUUACAUUACAGCCUAGUGAUAAUUUCACUGGCCACUCCUCAGGUGGCUGUUAGAGAUCAUUCCUGGGUCAUUGCUGCCUAAAAUGCAUCACAACAUUCAGU